rnacentral:sRNA from 1 species
GUGUACUUGUUUCCAAAUGCGGUUCACAAGAACAGUUUGGUGGCAUCCUCUGCGCCUACCAUGGGAGGAUGUUUAACUCAGACUCUGGCUUCUCUCUCCAGCUCCUGCUUCACAUUUGCCAUGACUUGACCCUGGCAGUGCUGAGCCAACAGAUGGCCUCCUGGGACGAGGCUGUGCAGGCGCUCCUUCGGGCAGUGGUCCGGAGCUAUGACUCAGGGAGCUUCACCAUCAUGCAGGAAGUGUACUCAGCCUUUCUCCCUGAUGGCUGUGACCACCUAAGAGACAAGUUGGGGGACCAUCAAUCCCCUGCCACACCAGCUUUCAAAAGUUUGGAGGCCUUUUUUCUUUAUGGGCGUCUGUAUGAAUUCUGGUGGUCUCUCUCCAGGCCUUGCCCAAAUUCCAGUGUCUGGGUAAGGGCUGGUCACAGAACACUCUCUGUUGAGACAAGCCAGCAGUUAGACACUGCCAGCACUGAAGAAACGGACACUGAAACUUCUCAGCCAGAGCCAAACAGGCCUUCAGAACUAGACUUGAGACUCACAGAAGAAGGUGAGCGAAUGCUGAGUACUUUUA